GAUGAACGCUGGCGGCGUGCCUAAUACAUGCAAGUCGAGCGAACGGACGAGAAGCUUGCUUCUCUGAUGUUAGCGGCGGACGGGUGAGUAACACGUGGAUAACCUACCUAUAAGACUGGGAUAACUUCGGGAAACCGGAGCUAAUACCGGAUAAUAUUUUGAACCGCAUGGUUCAAAAGUGAAAGACGGUCUUGCUGUCACUUAUAGAUGGAUCCGCGCUGCAUUAGCUAGUUGGUAAGGUAACGGCUUACCAAGGCAACGAUGCAUAGCCGACCUGAGAGGGCGAUCGGCCACACUGGAACUGAGACACGGUCCAGACUCCUACGGGAGGCAGCAGUAGGGAAUCUUCCGCAAUGGGCGAAAGCUUGACGGAGCAACGCCGCGUGAGUGAUGAAGGUCUUCGGAUCGUAAAACUCUGUUAUUAGGGAAGAACAUAUGUGUAAGUAACUGUGCACAUCUUGACGGUACCUAAUCAGAAAGCCACGGCUAACUACGUG
rnacentral:rRNA from 1 species